rnacentral:piRNA from 1 species
UAGAGAGAAAUUCCUACUCACAGGGCUU